CAUGAAUAUAUUUGUUGAUAGUCAUCUAGUGAACAUUGAAAGUCAUAUUAGAUGACCAUCAACGAAAACAUUCAUG
rnacentral:pre_miRNA from 1 species